UUAAAUUAAAUUAUUAGGUUAAAUUAAUUAAAAGAUUAAAUGUUAAAUCAUUAAAUUAAAAAAAUUUGGCGGUAUUUUAAAAAAUUAGAGGAAUUUGUUAUGUAAAUGAUGAUACACGAUAAGAAAUACUUUAUAUUUAUUUAUGUAUUGCUGUUUAAAUUUAUUUAUUAAGUAAAUUUAAAAUUAUUUUGUGUAAUAUAAAUUCAAGUCAAAAUGUGGUAUUAUAAAGAAUUAAAUGAGUUACAAUUUUUUAUAUAUUAGAUUAAUAAAUUUAAAUUUAUUAUGAAAUAGGAUUUAAAAGUAAAAUGAUUAAAUUUUUUCAUUUGAAUAUUUUUUGAGAUAAGU
rnacentral:rRNA from 1 species